CAUAUUGAGGCUAAUGGUGAGACUGCGGGAGACCUGACGCAGGUGUGAACGGGAAUCGGAUUUAAUCUUCGGCCACGAGUACAGGCCUGGUGCAGAGGACUCGUGCCAGAGCCGUAACAGAUGUGAUUUGUGGCCAUGAAUUUGGAACCACUUGGACAGCUUCCUCAUCUAUGAAUUCAACCACUAUGAAGCCUGAUUUCUCCAUUUUGUAAAGUACAAUCCAAUAUUACCUGAAAUUCAUGAAGAAGUUGAUAAAACUGGACUUUUAAUAUAUGUAACUACAUGUAACUACUCCCACCACAUCUGGAACAUUGAACUUAAUGUAGAUUAUGUACCUGUACAAGACAUGUAGAUGUUAUUAGUAUUGUGGUGCAGGUACUGGACAUGGCAACAGCAUGGUAAUAAUGAGGCCAGACAACUGCAGCCAAAGCACAAAAAUGGCUUUAUCUGAUAUAUACUGUACCAGUCACACUUACAACACAUACACUGCCCAUCAUGUUGGCUGCCCUGACUACUUACAAUCCACAGGAUGGGUGCACACACACACACACACACACACACACUAUUUACAACAGAUAACGUUAAACACUAUAUCUAACAUUACUGAAGACAAUGACAACACAAUACAUGAUAACACACAGCUAUUUACACUAUUACACUUGGCAUUAGCCCAGCAUGUCACUUGAUGGGUACCCUCAAAGCUGCAAUAUAUAGAUUCUGACAUGCACUUCCUGUUUAUAGGUCAUGCAGAAUGGCCAUAAAUAUAAUUUUCUGGUGUCUCCGUUCAAUCAGUAUUGCCCUUCUUUUAAGUUAAUCCUUUUUUAAGAUUUCAAUGUGAGAGUUUUUUGUGUUCACAGAGUAUACCCCAAUUAAUCGCGAAUCACAUGGUUCUUUGAAGAAAGCAUCUCCACCUUCAUAGACUCUGCACAUGACAUCUUGCUGUGGGUCCUCAUUUGGGCUGGAUAUAAUUUCACAACUUAAACUGUCUAAAAGAAAAGCAUUAUUUGGCCUUUUUGAUGAAAUUUUGCGAUCGGGUGUCUUUUUACAAAUGACGUCAUCGACUUCAGCAAGCCGUUUUACCACCUGAGAGAGUGGAUUCUUUCCGGAACGCACUAGCCUUUUCAACUUCUGCAGAUAAUUUUCAAAUGGAAAAGCACUGCACUGAUCCAGGCUCCCAUAUCUUUCAGCAUCUUGUCCAAUAUGAAGCAUGCUGUGCACAUUAUAAACAAUGAACUCAGGACCAUACAAAAUACGACUCUGGGAGACAAAGUAUUGCAGCGACUCCUCAGCAUACUCCCUUAGUCGAGGGUAUUGUACUAAUUUGCCAUACACAAGUAUUGACAUACCUACGCUAAGGGACAUGAAGUGAUCGUAUAAAUCAAUAUGCCUUUCAAAACGAGUUUUCCCGUGUAUAGGAGAAACUGUCUAUAUUCUGUAGCCUUCCAUCUAUCUAAUUCCUGAAGGCCUCUUGGUUUCCUGGCAAAGACUGAAGGGAUUGAUUGUUGCAGAUUUGUUAACCUUUGGCUUACUUCUGCAGCUUGACCUGCAGACAUCUUCACUUCCUUUUUACCUCUUAUCCACAACAGUAACAGUCUCUUCAUAACACCAAGGCAUGCUUGGUGCAUAUAGUCAACUGGAAAGUUAUAAACCAUAUAAAUAGAUGCAAGACACAGAAUGGAAUCUCCAUUGUGGUGUUCUUUAUGUUGCUUCGUUCUAAAGCUGUUGUCUGUGCGCAGGAUCAAGUUUUCUACCUCUUGAUAAGUCAUCCCACCAAGCCACUUCCCUAUCUGUGUACACCUGUCACAGCCAUAGUAGCCUGAAUAAAGUUUUGUGGCUUUCACCAUGGCUUUGGCAGGAGCAUUACACACAAUACAACGAAGCUUGACAUUAAUAUGUCUGCUGUCAUGAAUGAUCCCAUGCUGUAACAAAUCCUCCAAUUCAGUAACUGUAUCUCUCAUAAAUUCCAAGUCAGAUGCCCUGGAAGAACAAUAUGUAAGGGCAACAGGAAAUAUAAUAAAAUUUUCCAAAUGCACUGCACAAAGGAUUGGCCAUAAACAUUUGAAACUACUUUUAAAAAGUGGUAAGCCAUCAAUGUUAAGUGAUAUCUCUAUGGUACACUGAUCAUCAGGUAGGGCAGUUGUCUGUGAGAUGUGUUUUGCUAAUCUUUCUUUAAAACCAAUAUAAAUGUAUUUCAUGCCA